GUAGUUGAUCGUGGCUCAGAACGAACGCUGGCGGCGUGGAUAAGACAUGCAAGUCGAACGGGAGAAUUGCUAGCUUGCUAAUAAUUCUCUAGUGGCGCACGGGUGAGUAACACGUGAGUAACCUGCCCCCGAGAGCGGGAUAGCCCUGGGAAACUGGGAUUAAUACCGCAUAGUAUCGAAAGAUUAAAGCAGCAAUGCGCUUGGGGAUGGGCUCGCGGCCUAUUAGUUAGUUGGUGAGGUAACGGCUCACCAAGGCGAUGACGGGUAGCCGGUCUGAGAGGAUGUCCGGCCACACUGGAACUGAGACACGGUCCAGACACCUACGGGUGGCAGCAGUCGAGAAUCAUUCACAAUGGGGGAAACCCUGAUGGUGCGACGCCGCGUGGGGGAAUGAAGGUCUUCGGAUUGU
rnacentral:rRNA from 1 species